rnacentral:sRNA from 1 species
AUGCCAUUUGGUCUUCAAAAUUCUCCAGCAGUUUUUUCGCGAUUAAUGGAAAUCGUUCUCGAAGGGUUACCUUUCGCGGUAGCGUACAUUGAUGACAUUCUAAUAUAUUCAAGUACUUUAGACGAACACCUUUCCCACAUUCAACAAGUAUUUGAUCGCUUGAGAAAACACGGGCUUAAGUUAAAACUAAAGAAAUGCCAAUUUUUGAAAAAUGAAACAAAUUAUUUAGGUUUCAAAAUAACCGGAAAUGGGAUUAAACCGGAUACGGAAAAGGUGGAAACGAUAAGAUCAUUGCCUGCACCAAUUAAUGUCAAAGAGGUCAGAAGUUUUAUCGGUAUGCUUAGUUAUUAUCGUCGAUUCGUCCCAAAUUUCUCGAAAAUAUCGAUCCCUUUGGUUGAACUGACGAAAAAAUAUGCAAAGUUUAACUGGACAGACGAAUGUCAAAGAGCCUUUGAAUAUCUUAAAGAUAGUUUGACAGUUAUUCCAUUAUUAGCAUACCCAGAUUUGACAAAGCGGUACACGCUUUACACGGACGCCUCAGACGGCACAAUCGGUGCUUGUUUGACUCAGCCGUGUAAUGAUACUGAGGAAGUUAAACCCUUGCCGUUUUUGGCACAACCUUUUUGAUCUUUUGGUCCUCGAUGCUGUUCAACUUUGUACUCGUUUCGGCUUUCAAACUUUUGUAUCUGUGCGUCACACAUAGGUCUUGUUGACAAAAUACACUUCUGGCGUAUUAAAAUUUUGAAACUUUUGCCUUUGUUGGCUGUUGUUCGUGUGAUUCUUGUCAAUUGUGUUCUCUAAUUUAUUUAUAUUGUAGUCCUGGGUUGUCAUUUUGAUGUUAUAUUUCACAUGGCCAUAAAAGUGCGAGGUUUGGCAUGCCACAAAACAGGUUCAACCCACCAUUUUUUCCUUUAAAAACGUACCAAUCAGGAAUAUGGUCAUUGUUAUAUUAUAGUUCGUUUCUGUGUGUAUUACAUUAUAACGUUGUGUCGUUUGUUUUCUCUUAUUUUUGUAUGUAUUUGGUUUUGAUGUUAUAUAUAUAUGUUAUAUUUGUUAUUCUCGUGGGAUUUUGUCUAUAUGUGUUACAUUUUAGUGUUAUGUCGUUGUUCUCCUCUUAUAUUUAAUGUUUGUAUGGGUUAAAAAUGAAAAACCAAUCUAUUUCUUGUCACACAAAUUAAGUGACACACAGACGCGUUGGUCAACUAUUGAAAAAGAAGCAUUUAGCAUUCAUUAUUCACUUCAAAAAUUAGACCAUUAUCUGCAUAACGCAGAAUUUACGAUUAAGACCGAUCACAAACCAUUAAAGUAUAUUUUAGAAUCCCCUAUGCAGAAUAAAAAGAUUCAACUAUGGGCAUUAGGCAUAACAGGGUAUAACUGUAAAAUUGAAUGGUUGGCUGGGACAGAAAACACUAUCGCGGACUAUCUCUCUAGAAGACCUAACCGGGUAGAAGUUAAUAAAUCAGACAAUAAAAAGACAGACGACGAAGACAUUGAAAUAGACAUUAGUGACAAGGCUUACGAAAUUAACACCAUUAAUUCUAACGAAAUUGACCCAAAGAAAUUUGCAAGUUGUAGUUACAAAGAGUCAGAUACUUUGACACUUAAAGAUUUUGUGGUUUCGGGUUACGACAUGAAAUAUGAGCAAUCACUCGACAAAGAAUUAGCUUUGAUAAUUAGCCAAAUGAAAAAUGGCAAAGCCUCGAAAUCAGUUGAAAAUAAGUAUAUACUGAUAGAUGAAAUAAUGUAUUAUAUCUCUAAAGCAGAUACUGAACCUGUGUUAAGGUUGUAUGUCCCUUUACAAUUAAGAGACGAAGUAGUGAAACAAUAUCAUGAUCAAGAUCAUUUGGGUGUUGACAAAACGUAUGACGCUAUUAAGGGUAAAUAUUUUUGGCCAAAAUUAUACAAAGAACUCCAUGAAUAUGUAAACUCUUGUAUAACGUGUCAAAAACGGAGCUCCUAUCAUGCGAAACCAAAGCUCCAGGAAACUGAUAUACCACCAUUUCCAUUUGCAAAAAUUGCAAUUGACUUGUCCGGUCCGUACCCAAGGUCAUUGUCGGGAAAUAAAUAUAUCAUAAGUUUUAUUGACCUUUAUAGCGGAUACCCAGAAUGUUUUGCUGUUCCUGAUAAGUGCGCUGAAAAUGUAGUUCAUUUAUUAUUAGAAGAAAUCAUCCCAAAACAUAGUUUUCCUUUACAAAUAUUGACAGAUAAUGGGGGUGAAAACACAAGUUAUAUGGUUCGCGAAACUUUACAAGAACUUAAUAUAAGCCAUGUGACUACAUCAUUUUAUUCACCAGGGUCCAAUGGCAAAGUUGAAAGGUUACAUCGAUUUUUGCAUGACAUUCUAGCAAAGAAAAUACAAGACGAUGCCUCAACAUGGGACGUUUAUCUAAAUCAAACGUUAGCCGCAAUUAGAUUUAACAAAAACGAGUCGUCUGACUUCUCUCCUUUCUUUCUUUUAUACAACAGAGAUCCUGUACUUCCCGUUGAUAAUAUUUUGCGUCCGAGACGUAAGUACGCAGGUGACGAUCCCCAUAAAAUUUUAUUAGAGCAGCAACAUAAAUCUUUUGUCAUGGUUCACAAAAAUAUGAAAAAGUCAAAAAGAAAACAAAAGGAACACGCGGAUAAGUCGAGACGCGAUAUUGAAUUUAAAGUAGGGCAAGCUGUAUUUUAUCGAAAUCACCUCCGUAAAAGUAAGUUAGACAGUAAAUGGAAACCAUUUUAUAGGAUAAUUGAACAAAGGUCACCGGUCAGUUUUAUCAUAAAAAAUCAACUAAACGGAACUACCACCAAAGUGCAUGCCCAACAUCUUAAACCUGCACCCGUAAAUGAGUGGACUAUUCCGAAAUUAGGUCAAGCUGACAAAGAUAAACAGUUAAGAAAAACUACUUAUGUUGUACCCCCCGAAUCAUCUGAUAAAGAGUCAGAAAAUGAAACUGAUAGCGAAAAUUCUUCUAUGGAAGGAGUAGAGCAAACUCGUGACAAAUUGAUACGAAGGUAUAAAAACGAACGCGAAUCUUCCUCUGGUGAAGAUGAUAUUCCUUUAAUGGAACUUACGAAAAGGGUAAAAUACCGUAAGAAACGGAUAAAGGCUCAAUAUGAAAAUACGACGGACGAAGAAGACAAUAUUCCUUUACUUGAGCUCCAGAAUAAUUUGAAAUCUCGGGCAAUGACUUCUGAAACAAGAUCUAUCAGUUUAGAUGCUAACUCGUCGGAAGACGAGUCAAUGUCAGUAAAUCAUUUUAUUGAAAAACCUGCGAGCAAGCGGGAUGACAUAGCCAAAAAUGACAAAAUUUAAAAUAUAUUUUCUGAUAUGUCAAAAUGUUUAAAAGAUAUUUCGAACAGUAGCUUGUUCUCUCUAUACAUAUAUAUAUACAUGUAUGUCUAGGCAUUUUAUAUAUAUAAAAUACUAAUAUAUUUAUAUUACUAUAUUAGAUGCACUUCAGAGGAAUAGACUUGGAAGGGAAGGACAUGGAAGCUGUGGAACAAAAUCAGAAAUUUAAUUUGAUUUUAACAGAAUUCGCUUUUAUAGCAUACUCGGGUUGCCACGAAUCGUUGGCUGAAAAGGGGAUUCUUCCUUCUAUUAUUAAACAAAUUUAUAAAACCUGGUCCCAAAAGGCCAGAUUGUUCCACGAAAAUAGAAUGAUGGGGACUAUUUUAGGGUUUCUUAUAAAACCUUUUUCGACAGUUCCCACCAUGACCGGUUAUUAAUUCCUUCUUUAGUUAAAGAGGUAGUAGAAAUUGUGGUAGAAAGAGCCAGAAACAAGGGUUUCUUUUAUUUACACACUCUUAGAUUACAAAUGGAAAACCAAAUAAGGUAUAACAGGGCGAUUGUAUUCUGCCCUGAGUUCAUGGACGAAAUUGGGGGAGAUAUACGGAAUGAUAUUUUGUGGUUGUACCGCGAGAGUUAAAGUGUACAUCAACUAUUUUAAAUUAUUUUAUGGUUUUAUAAUGAGACAUGAAAAUAAGGUAUUUUGUUUAAUUGUAGGAUAUGGGACGGACGGCUGGACAUAUAAUUCUAACACUUCUUUUUGGUUUUGGCGAGCUGGCUUUCAUAUCUGACAAUAUUGUAUUUGACAAAGUAAAUACUGUUACCACCACGAGGUCGAAAUGGUUGGUAACCUUCAUAAUUGAUUUAAAACCUUUUGAAGGAUUUUUGAACAGAAUAUCCCAUGACAUGGUAAAAUCCUCCGCAUUAGCACAAACUGUUUUGAGACGUUAUGAACAACCUGGAAAGGAACAUUUUUAUAACACUUUUGCAAAUUUGGAACAAGAAUUUAAUCUGUUAAUGGACAUGCAUCGUUCGAUAACUGAUACAUUCGACGAUUUCAAAACUUUACAUCGACACAAACGUUCUGUUUUGCCGUUUAUAGAUAGCGCAAUGAGUUUUUUGUUUGGUACAUUGACAGAAGACGAUAUUAAUUUAAUUAAGGGCAACGUUCGUACAUAA